rnacentral:lncRNA from 1 species
GUCUUGUCGCUUCCGCCUCGAGCGUGUGGCGGGAUUGCGGAAGCCCUCCACAGUUCAUAACCGUUGGCUGGUUAUGAACCGUUCAUAACGGGCGUUAAUAACCAUACCCUGUUAGACUAAGCAUGGUCCACCCGCGAAUCCUCUACAGAGAUGGCCAAGCGCUGGGGUCGUGGCUGCGUCCUCUAGGCCAGGCCUUGGUGGGCAGCUGUUGACAUGUCCAGAACCCCAGGAAGUGCUGAAGGUACCUGCAGUUCAGGCCCCAUGGAAGCCCAGACCUCCUUCACCCUUCGGGGACACUGAAAUUGGCCAAAUGUUUAGGCCAUGAGGAUGGCUGCUGAGUAAGCCCAUAAUCCCUACAUCGGACACAACCUUGUGCAAAGGACCUUCUCACCACAGAUCAGCCAGACCAUCUUCCUCCUUCCAAGUCAUCAAAGAGUUCCAAGCUGGUCACCUGUCCCUUGAUGUUCCCAGGAAACCAGGAAAGAGGACCCCUGCAUUUUAUCUUCCCAUCCAGAGUGGCAGGAUCUCUGCCUGGGAAACAGGCUUCAUUCAGCACAGCUGUGGUAGCAUUAACAAAGCAAAGUGGGCACAUGUAGAAGUUGAAGCUAAAACAUUCAAGAACUCCAGUCUGUUUCUGUGGAUGUUAAGGGGGUGAAGAUAAAACAAUGGAGGUGAUGAGGAGGAAUAACUUGAAGACAGUUUAAAGCCACAGUGAUACAAAGAAUGAAGAGAAGGAAGGUGCUGGAUUUUACUAAGAAAACAGACUGAGUUCAGGAGUCUCACCAGUAGAACUUUAUAGUAUUGCGUUUCGAUUACAUGUGUGUGAAUUUUAAAAACUGAUUACCCUCCAGUAAAAAUGUGGAACCAAUUUGCAUUUGGAUUAAAACAUUAGGUUUGGGGACAAAAGUGGACCCCAUGCUGCCUGAGAUGAAGAGAGAGAGCAGGAUGGCAGAGGAAUCACCAGCUCAAGAAACCCCAAGACUUGGACAGUCUUCCAGCAGAAGAGGCCAGGGUCUCUCAGUGUACUACUCCAAACAGGCCUCUCCUAGAGAUGUAGUCUGGGAAGGUCCAAAACCCACCAGACAGGCACAUCCAGUGGGGAAAAGACUUCCCAUUCCAGUGUGGCCUGCAUCCCUCACCUCUGCUUCCCAGUCUUCUGCUGACCUCAGAGGAGCAGGGUGGCCAUUGCUGAUCUGGGUUAGGGAGAUGCCAGAAACACACCCAGGUUUGAACCACAGGUUAGUGGUACAAAGUCACAGUCCUUGUGCCUUCAGAAAACCCAGAGGCCCCAAAUACGAGUGGGAAGAGAGUUGGGAAAAACUGAACCAGACUCUUCCAAUGGCCAUUAAAGAGAAAAUUCAGCAACGCUUGCCUUUGUCUUUGACCCUGAGAAGUUAAGGGACACAGAUUGUGGCGCCGUGAUGGAACAUGGAGGGAAGGCAUGGUGUGCUUCCUGCAGAGAUGCCUCUGGAGUCCCUGUGGCCACGGGAUCUCACUGGCCCCCUCUUCAGGCACCUUGAUGGGGCUCAGUGGGGCCAGGCCGAAGGGUGGAAGUAGAAAAGCAUCAACAGGCUGUCCAGAUCAAUUGGCACCAUCCAAGGCCCUGCUGCACCCACACAUGGAGGUCACCAGCUCAGCCCCAGGGGUUCUUUCACACACAAGCUCCUUCCCUAAGGAGUCCUGUGGGGUUCCACACUCAGUGUGCUGCCCAAGUCAGAGAUUUACCACAGAUCUGUCUCCCCCUCAACCUGGACUCAAGUUACUGUGGUGAGAAACCUCACUGUCCAUGGUUAACUGAAGAAAUCCCUCCUUCAGAAAGAACUUGAGUAGUAGAUGAGGUGGUUAGACAGGAUCUUUUUCCCUCAAGCUGUUUGGACGCCACAGCCAGGACCAACUCUGACAGCUGCGAGAGAGAGAGCCCCUCCAAUGUGGAACCUCCUACACAGCCCCCCUUUUGGGUCCCUGGAUAUGAGCCCCCAGCAGGACCACCACUCUAGGGGGAAGUCUCCCUCCCAUCCCUCAGAUCCCCACAUUGUUCCUCCUGUAGGAGAAAAGUCAGCCCUGCCCCUGGAGCUUCUCCAAGAUGGCACUGGACUCGCCGUUAUCUUGAGGAGCCAGGAGCUGAAAUGGCUCCGGCUUAGCAACCCAGUAUGGCCAAAGUGGAAAGGUUCUCUGUCCUUUGCAGUCACCAAAAAAAAAAAAAAAAAAAAAAAAAAAAAAAAAAAAGUAUGGUCUCACAGGCACAGCAUCUUCUUUUAAAAAAUAAAUAUUUAUAAACUUAAGGAAGAUUCAAA